rnacentral:rRNA from 1 species
UUUAAUUGAAGAGUUUGAUCAUGGCUCAGAUUGAACGCUGGCGGCAGGCCUAACACAUGCAAGUCGAGCGGCAGCACAGGGGAACUUGUUCCUUGGGUGGCGAGC